rnacentral:rRNA from 1 species
GAUGAACGCUGGCGGCGUGCCUAAUACAUGCAAGUCGAGCGAACAGACGAGGAGCUUGCUCCUCUGACGUUAGCGGCGGACGGGUGAGUAACACGUGGAUAACCUACCUAUAAGACUGGGAUAACUUCGGGAAACCGGAGCUAAUACCGGAUAAUAUAUUGAACCGCAUGGUUCAAUAGUGAAAGACGGUUUUGCUGUCACUUAUAGCUGGAUCCGCGCCGCAUUAGCUAGUUGGUAAGGUAACGGCUUACCAAGGCAACGAUGCGUAGCCGACCUGAGAGGGUGAUCGGCCACACGGGAACUGAGACACGGUCCAGACUCCUACGGGAGGCAGCAGUAGGAAAUCUUCCGCAAUGGGCGAAAGCUUGACGGAGCAACGCCGCGUGAGUGAUGAAGGUCUUCGGAUCGUAAAACUCUGUUAUUAGGGAAGAACAAAUGUGUAAGUAACUAUGCACGUCUGGACGGUACCUAAGCAGAAAGCCACGGCUAACUACGG